rnacentral:lncRNA from 1 species
CAUAAGUCUGCCUCUUUUCUCUGAUCCCUUCUCCCCUCUGUCUACAAACCCUUCCUGAUGCCCGGGUCAUGCAAUUAAAUACUAUUUUUAAAACCAAGUUUUAUCUACGCUCCCUGUGGGUUAUCUCAGCUCCUACAGAGGCUCAGGAAACUGUGACAGCACAAUCGUCACACUGACUUGACAGGAGGCAGCCUGGGAAGUCAUGAUGGAUGAGGCUGCUCUCUUCCUGGCCUGGCCCCUCUUGGGGGUUCAGUGCUCGUCUCUGAAGUCACUGAGGUUUUUGUUGCAGUUUCCCUACGGUAUAGAGCGUGCCCUACAUCGCAGGGCUGGGCUAAGACGGAUUUCUGGCUUUCUUUUCUCAAAAAAUCAUGCUCAUUCAGGCACUGGCGAAUAUAGGUUCUGGUACUGAAGAUGAGCUGUCUGUUAAACUCUGAAUAGGGCUAUUCUCUCUGCAAUUAGAGACUUUUGGCUCAAACAAGAUCUUUUCUGGGAAGCCAUAAGCCUGUAUUCUGAUAUUUCAACAUUUCACCCUUCAUCCUCCCCACCAGCCCUCACUAGGGUUCAUAUCAUCCUAGAAAUGGAACACCACCACAAAGCAGUCACCCACAUGGAUUCUCCCACUUUGCAGGCUUACGAUAAUGAAGUCAAACACACAUACACAGGCUCCAAAUACCUUUGGUAGAGCUUUACACCCAUAUGUGUGAAGGGCCAUUUCCAAACGGAAUAAUAACUGGAAGGCACGACUAAACCACUAGAAUAAAAUCCCCCUUUGGAUUAGGUAUCAGCAAAGUAAAUUAGUAACAUCUGAGCGCCUGUUAAGACUAGAGAUUCGCCGUUUGCUGGGACUGGCAUUUAUUUCAUUAUUGAAAAGGAAGGGAAAAAACAGAAGGAAUCAAGUCAGCUGUACUGAGUGUCGAUGACACAUGUGCCUCCCAUUUUUGAAGCUCUUCUCCCUGGCGCCUCAGUGUACUGUCUGAGCUGCCCCUGGGCUACAACCGUGAUUAAGAGGAGAGGUCUCUCUUUUGAAGGGGUUGGUGGUCUCUUGAGCUGAGGAAGUGGAACACGGGGUGAGUUUUCCUUUGUUUGUUCUUUCGUCCAUUCAUUGGUUCAUUAGGAAGCCCCUUCUCUGUGCUUGGUGCUGAGGAGGGGUUUUAACAGUCUCCUCCAGCAAUGGCGCUUCGGGGCAGGGGGGAGUAUGGGGAUGCUAAGUUUUGGGGGGAGCUUCCAGUAGAUUCAUUCAGGAGGAGACUCCUUUGGAGUAAGAUGGGAAGAGCAGCUUGCAGCCCCCUGGUAGAGGCCCUUGAACGGAGAGCAGAGUUUUGUUCUGGGGCAAGUUUGGGGCAGGCAAGCCCGAGUCUCUUUCCUGUCCUUGACCCUUGCUGUGGGACUCGCUUCUCUGCUUUUCAGUUGACGAGCCUGGCUGAUGGAAAACUGGAGGGCAUGCUGUGGGCUUCUCCCCUGCCACCUUCCCCGCUCUUGACGUCUUCUGGAAAUUGCCACCUUUAGGAGUCUGAGGAGCCAGGCAUCCUCGAGGGCAGGCUUCCUGUGUGGAGAGCCUUGUGGCUGAGGUCUGACCACACCACAAACCCACUGCUGCUCAUCAGUGUGGGCCAAGGAUGGAAGAGAAGCCAUGGUGCAGAGAGGGGUGUGGGUCAGGGGCUGAGGAUGCCUCCGGCCUUUCCUAAAAAGGAGGGAGCUGGACUUGCUUUUCCCUGAGACAUCUUCUGGUUGCGCCUCAGUCUACCCUGCGUUUGUCAUUUAGAUGGGGAGCUCCCCCACCAUCUCAUUCGGCAUGGGGUUUACAGGUCUAACAGGCCACGGUUUUAUGAGCUGCCUUGUGAAUAUUAAAAGUCGCAUUUCUUUUUCUGUUUCUUUGGAUUGCUUGAAUUUUUUAAGGUUGAGCAGUUUUUUAAAUAGCAAAGUGUAAAGUCCUAAGUCUUCUUAGAGGCUGUCAUUCUCCUGUGAUUUCAGCUCCCUAGCCUCCUUCGUGACUUUGAUCACCAAGUCCCCCGUUACGUUGGAAGAUUAAAGGCAUGUGGACGUCCGGGGGAGGGCAGCCUGGAGGUGACAUUCAAAAGCUCGAUUAGUCUUCUGCGGAUCAGCUGGCUCUCUCCCUUUGAGGCACAACUGAGCUCGUCUCAGAGUUGGCGAUCCAGAUCAAGGAGCGAGAAUCCAGGUGUUCCUGUUAAGAUGAGGUUAUGGAUUACAGCCGCAUAAAGCAAUUACUGCACAAAUGGUAGCUGCGGACUGUGCAAAUCAGAGUUUAUGCAAGCGUAAUCUCAAUUUUUUUAUCCUUUUGUAACACAUGGAAAAUAAAGGUCAGAGGAUACAGUACCAGGACGUGCAGCUACACUACAGAAGCAUUGUCCAAAACCAGAUUCAAUAAAUUAAUGGCAAACUCUACUGGAUUUCUAGUCCAGGGGAGAAAGACUAAUUGAGAUUAAACUAAAAGUAUUGUCAACUGCUACGUGUGUUUGUGCUUUUGUUUAUGCCGGAUGGGUUCCCCUUUUGGAAAUUGCUUUUACAAGCUGCGAAACUCUUCACUGGAAGCUUUCAACUGUAUUCUCCUCGCGUCAAAUGACUGAACCACGCCCGAUGGAAAUUAAAGGGCCAGUGCUCGGGAUACUGCAAUUACACAGAGAAGGGAAGAUGUGACCGAGGGCAGCUGUUACGUGUGACUUUGUGCACUGGACCCGACCUCCUGGGUUUACUCAUUGGACGGCAGGUGCAGGGAGGCGAGGGUUACCUGCAUUUCCACAUUGGAAAGGAGCAGAAUCUGGGAAGGAUGAAGCAUGGGUCAUCCAGGCCAUCUUAAAGGGAAACUGCCCUCAGAAACAUUUUGCCUUUUAAUACAUGUAGCUACCACUAAG